GAUGAAGAACGUAGCGAAAUGCGAUAAGUAAUGUGAAUUGCAGAAUUCAGUGAAUCAUCGAAUCUUUGAACGCACAUUGCGCCCGCUAGUAUUCUGGCGGGCAUGCCUGUCCGAGCGUCAUUUCAACCCUCAAGCCCCCGGGCUUGGUGUUGGGGAUCGGCGAGCCUCCGCGCCCGCCGUCCCCUAAAUCUAGUGGCGGUCUCGCUGUAGCUUCCUCUGCGUAGUAGCACACCUCGCACUGGGAAACAGCGCGGCCACGCCGUUAAACCCCCAACUUCUGAACGUUGACCUCGAAUCAGGUAGGACUACCCGCUGAACUUAAGCAUAUCAAUAAGCGGAGGA
rnacentral:misc_RNA from 1 species